UACGAAGGGUGCAAGCGUUACUCGGAAUUACUGGGCGUAAAGCGUGCGUAGGUGGUGAGUUAAGUCUGUCGUGAAAGCCCCGGGCUCAACCUGGGAAUGGCGAUGGAUACUGGCUCGCUAGAGUGCGGUAGAGGAGAGUGGAAUUCCCGGUGUAGCAGUGAAAUGCGUAGAGAUCGGGAGGAACAUCAGUUGCGAAGGCGGCUCUCUGGACCAGCACUGACACUGAGGCACGAAAGCGUGGGGAGCGAACAGG
rnacentral:rRNA from 1 species